rnacentral:lncRNA from 1 species
UUAGCAAAACGGACAAUUGGCUUUAUAUCAAUUUUAUGUAUAUUUUGUUCACUCAUGAUUCUGAGUAUAACCAAGUGACAUUAGAUUGAAAUCUAAAAGAAAAACAAUUUUAAAACUACUACUUUUAUUAAAAUACUUAUUAAAUUGUUAAAUUGUUUAAUGCUCUAAAAUCUAAGAUCAUGAUUAACCCCAGUCUUUUAACUGGGGUUCUUAGCUUCGGCUAAGAGACGGUUCUUGGUUUUUUAGAUUUUAAUUAAGAAAAAUUAAGAAUCAUCUAUUAAAUAAGAGAUAUAAGAGUCGUAUCUUAGCCGGAAAAUAUUAAAAAAAACAAAAAAAAAAACCAAAAGUGUCAAAUUAUUAGUUAAGAAUUCUGGCUAAGAGAUCUUGGUUAAUCAUUGCCCUAACAGCGGUCAUUUUACUAUUGCACCAGCCAUUUAAAAAAAAAUCAGAAAGUCACAUUCUUUGAGAUAUGUUUUCGUUUGGUCUGUUCAGGGUUUCCGGUAUAGGAAAUAUAUUAGAAAUCGUGUGUAAAAUUGGAUUUACAUUGGGUACUAAUUAUACUAUCAAUAAACCGGUGGAUAUCAUAUUGAACUACCACCUUUAACAAAAUCAACGGUGGCGUUGCC